AUAGCUACCUAGGUCAUGAUUGUCACACAAGUACACAGACAUAGCUACCUAGGUCAUGAUUGUCACACAUGUACACAGACAUAGCUACCUAGGUCAUGAUUGUCACACAAGUACAAAGAUUUAGCUACCUAGGUCAUGAUCGUCACACAAGUACACAGAUAUAGCUACCUAGGUCAUGAUUGUCACACAUGUACACAGACAUAGCUACCUAGGUCAUGAUCGCACCCAACGUUAAAAACCGUAACAAUUGAUUUCUUUGAAUAUCAGUUCUCGGUAAUGAUUAAAAACAUUUUAUGCACAGUUAUGGAAAACUGUAUUAUUAAUAAAAUAUACAUUAAAUGUA